GCUCCAGUGGCCUAGUGGUUAAAGCAUCCAUCUCAGAUGUGGGAGGUCGUGGGUUUAAUCCCCAGUCGAGUCA